UCGUCGUUUGCCUUCGAGGGCAUUUUGUUAAGACGAAGAAGAAUUGACCCUGAAAGUAUGUUUUUAUAAAGAACGAUUGAAAACAAACACACGCAACCAUGCGCACGCACGCGCACACACGCACACACACUAACCCAAGCGCGUGCACACACACACGCGCACACACAUAAGCGCGCACACGUCUUGAGAUUGAGCUGCUCUUUUAAAUCCACCUGUCCAGGUCUGCUCGCGCUCUCGCUUGCGGGCUGCUGAUUGGUCGGCUGAGAGAGGAAACCCCGUGCUCUCCGGCUCCAGAACAAAAGCCUCUUCAUCCUCAUCCUCUCCGAACUGCUAGGCGACCUCAGUCUUCCUCUCGUCACGGGACGGAUUACCGCGAGGGCUCCGCGUCUCCGGGUUAGCGCGCGCCUGCACCUCGUCUCCUCCGUCCUCCUCCUCCUCCUCCAUGGAGAUAAACACACUCCGCGACCCCCGCUGCUGAAGCCAUCCCUCCCCUCACCCAUCUCCUCCUCCAACCGUCUCCUCCUCCACCCAUCUCCUCCUCCACCCUGCGCUCAAGCGGAAGCCCUCAGACACAUCUGGAGACGAGGCGCCAUGUGGUGAUGCCGCUCCGCCGCGCGCCGCGUCUCCCCACGGCGCCCUGACCGCCGCUCUCCCGCACCUCGUCGCGCGCCUCCCCCGAUGUGUUUGGUCGGCGCGGCGCUCGUGGGAAGCCAGCCGUCCUUCGCCCUCUCCACCAUGUUCACGUUCGCCGCCUUCUGCUACAUGCUGUCGCUCGUGCUGUGCGCCUCGCUCAUCUUCUUCGCGAUCUGGCACAUCACUGCGUUCGAGGAGCUCCAGGCCGACUUCAAGGUGCCGAUCGAUCAGGGAAACCCACUCCACGCGAGAGAGAGGCUUCGCAAUAUUGAGCGCAUCUGCAACCUGCUGAGAAAGCUGGUUCUCCCAGAGUACUCCAUCCACGGUCUGUUCUGCAUCAUGUUCCUGUGCGCCCAGGAGUGGCUGACGGUCGGCCUGAACAUCCCUCUGCUGUUCUACAACACCUGGAGCCGGUACUUCCACAGCCCGACCGACACCAAGGAGCUCCUCUACGACCCGGCCUCGGUCAUGAACGGGGACACCCUCAAGUUCUGCCUGAAGGAGGCCUGGUGCAAGCUGUCCUUCUUCGUCCUCUCCUUCUUCUACUAUCUCUACUGUGUUUGGAACCUGGAUAUUUCCCUGUAAUAAGUCUUAAGGAAACAUUAAAGCUCCUACUGGGCCGGUCCGGAGGGCUCGGACUCUGCCGGUGUCAGCAGCAGCAUAUGAUCUACUCUCUGGUCACCUCUUAGCCAAUCAACCGUCAGAACCUCUUAGCCAAUCAGCUGUCGGGUCCAGGAGGGAGGAGGAUGAAGGCACCUCCGGAGCCACUCUUCACCUUGACUGUUCCAGGGACUAAAGACUCUUUGGGAGGGACAGAGAUCAAACUAACUAUUUUUUUGCUGUGAAGCCAAAUAACAAUGAGCCAAUGAGGAGGGGUUCGGCCCCGGCCCCGCCCCCUUUGCCCUCAGUGCGCUGGAUAUUAAUUCUGCAUAUAUCCUGUACAUACUCAGCCAACUACUGUUUACAGCUGGACUGGUUGCUAGGAGAACACAACCACGUCAAUCACUGCCGGGCCGAUGUUUGUACCGCUAAUUCGCCACCUCCUCCCGCUCCCGGAGCCUUCCGGAACGUUCAGCGCUACCGCGUCUGUAACUGUAGCAACAGCAGUCCCCCCCCCCCCCCCCCGGAUGAAGGUCAUUGGCCAUGGUUGUCUCAGGCACAGCGCGAUGAAGCACGUUCUGUUGCCGGGACGAUUAUACAGUUUGUUUGUACGAUACGAUUGUACGAUUUGAUUGGACGGUGCAAUCGUAUACAAUGUGACGGUGAUAUCGUAUAAUACUAUCUUAGGAUCCGAUUAAACGGAAUGAUUGGGCGGUACGACAUAAGAUCGUAGGAAACGAGCGCACAACACAUUUGAAUGGUACGAUCACGAUUGGUAUUUUUACAAUUCGGUCUAACGGCACGAUCUACUAGUGCGAUCGCCGCGUAUCAUUGGUCCGUACGAUCGUACGAUCUUCUAGUACAAUCGUCCCGUAUCAUUGGUCCGUACGAUCGUACUAUCUUCUAGUGCAAUCGUCCCGUAUCAUUGGUCCGUACGAUCGUACUAUCUUCUAGUGCAAUCGUCCCGUAUCAUUGGUCCGUACGAUCGUACUUUCUUCUAGUGCAAUCGUCCCGUAUCAUUGGUCCGUACGAUCGUACUAUCUUCUAGUGCAAUCGUCCCGUAUCAUUGGUCCGUACGAUCGUACGAUCUUCUAGUGCAAUCGUCCCGUAUCAUUGGUCCGUACGAUCGUACUAUCUUCUAGUGCAAUCGUCCCGUAUCAUUGGUCCGUACGAUCGUACUAUCUUCUAGUGCAAUCGUCCCGUAUCAUUGGUCCGUACGAUCGUACUUUCUUCUAGUGCAAUCGUCCCGUAUCAUUGGUCCGUACGAUCGUACUAUCUUCUAGUGCAAUCGUCCCGUAUCAUUGGUCCGUACGAUCGUACUUUCUUCUAGUGCAAUCGUCCCGUAUCAUUGGUCCGUACGAUCGUACUAUCUUCUAGUGCAAUCGUCCCGUAUCAUUGGUCCGUACGAUCGUACUAUCUUCUAGUGCAAUCGUCCCGUAUCAUUGGUCCGUACAAUCGUACUAUCUUCUAGUGCAAUCGUCCCGUAUCAUUGGUCCGUAGGAUCGUACUAUCUUCUAGUACAAUCGUCCCGUAUCAUUGGUCCGUACGAUCGUACUUUCUUCUAGUGCAAUCGUCCCGUAUCAUUGGUCCGUACGAUCAUACGAUCCUCGGCAACAGAACCCAUAACUCAGUCCCUCCUUCAUCUCAUGUAGAACAGUAAUCGUAGCAACUCUAGAGUUGGUAUCCAGGGAUCAGACGGAGGAAACUGAACUGCGAGAGGAAGGCUUUGUAGCAGCGAGGUGAAUGUUUUAUUUCUUUCUUUACAUUUCCUUCCAUAGCACUUCCAGCCCAUGGCCUGGUUGUUUUCUACGUGUGGACAUGUGAACAUUAACAUGUGAAUGGCUUUUGGUGACGCGUGUACUUUGGUGUAUUCUUAAACAAAAAGCAUUUCUUAUCGAACUUGAAAAAAGCACAUAGCAAAGUAUUUCUCUGUGUUGUCUGGUGUUGUUCUGCAGUGAAACGUUUUUUUAAUUACCAAUCUGAAAUACUGUCAUAUAGCUUAACAUUUGGACAUUUAUAUAUGUUCACAUGUUUAUAUAUAGGUUUAUAUAUAUAUAUAUAUAUAUAUAUAUAUAUAUAUAUAUAUAUAUAUAUAUAUAUAGAUAAAACAUUGUUUUUCUAGAGGAGGAGCACAUGCUCUUUGCAAAGAUAGCGUCUAUCAAAAGUGUCAAGGAUCUGGCUACGAUAGGCUAGGCUAAAAUUCGUUAGCCUAGCCUAGCCUAUUGGAACAGGUGAUGGUCUUCCAGCUCACUGACGCCCAGGAACCGUACCAGGGGAACUUUUCUAUCUCCAUAACUGACCAAAAUAUGUGAACUUGUUAUAUCUUUAGAAUGACUUCCUUCAUGUACAGUAGAAUGACUUCCUUCAUGUACAAACUAUUCGUUGAGAUGUUGACUGUUUGCGUUUUCUGCUCAAUCCUAAAACGCGAAUCAGUGUUACCAAUCUGCAAUAAAAAAUGUAUAACUCAAAAAAAUAAAUAUGAAUAUACAAAUAUAUAUAUAUAAGUAAAAUGAGAUAUGUCACGUAGGUUAAAUCUGUCACUUUCUACCACUCUUAGAACGAAAGUGUAGCACAUGCUGCCGAUGCCUUUGAACCUCUGAAAGGCGGGCUGUUCGUCGGCACAAUUCCUCUCUGAUCUCGUAUUAUUCGGGACGAGAAUCACGAUGACACUAGAGGUGGACACACGGCCUAGCCCUCACCCUGACCCCGACACGCCCCCUGACACGCCCCCUUGACCCUGACACGCCCCCUGACCCAACACGCCCCCUGACCUCCGACCUGGGGGUCAGCUGCCCUGUAGCACCCACUGAGCUGGUUGGGAUCCUGGCUCAUGGGCCCGUCGGCAAAACGCACGCAGGGAGCAGAACUGAUUUAUGGAACAUUCGAACUGGUGGAGUCUAACUGGUGGAGUCUAACUGGUGGAGUCUAACUGGUGGAGUCUAACUGGUGGAGUCUAACUGGUGGAGAGUAACUGGUAGAGUCUAACUGGUGGAGUCUAACUGGUGGAGUCUAACUGGUGGAGUCUGGAGUCUAACUGGUGGAGUCUAACUGGUAGAGAGUAACUGGUGGAGUCUGGAGUCUAACUGGUGGAGUCUAACUGGUGGAGUCUAACUGGGAAAGUCUAACUGGAAGAGUAUAACUGGUAAAGUCUAACUGAUAGUUACUCGGAGAGAGUAACUGGUAGAGUCUAACUGGUAGAGUUACUCGGAGAGAGUAACUGGAAGAGUCUAACUGGCAAAGAGUAACUGGUGAAGAGUAACUGGGAGAGAGUAACUGGGAGAGAGUAACUGCUAUGGCGUUUAACUGGUAGAGACUUACUGGGAGUGAUUCUAACUGGUAGAGUCUAACUGGUAGAGAGUAACUACGAGAGUCUUACUGGUGGAGAGUAACUGGUAGAGAGUAACUAGGAGAGUCUUACUGGUGGAGAGUAACUGGUAGAGAGUAACUAGGAGAGUCUUACUGGUGGAGAGUAACUGGUAGACUAUCUUGUAGAGACUUACUGGUAGAAUAUUAUGGUGAUUGUCUCUAACCAACGCGCUUCCAGGUGUUCUGGUGUUUUGGUCUGUAAUCAAAUCAGUUCUGCUGUUUAACUUAAUUAAUAUUUAAACAAAAAAAUAUUUUAUAUCUACUGUGUAACUGAGCUAAAUUUACAUAUUCUUGUUUAUGAAAUAAAAUAUGAUUGGUUAAAAAACCUUGUC